rnacentral:rRNA from 1 species
UACGAAGGGGGCUAGCGUUGUUCGGAAUUACUGGGCGUAAAGCGCACGUAGGCGGAAUGUUAAGUCAGGGGUGAAAUCCCGGGGCUCAACCCCGGAACUGCCUUUGAUACUGGCAUUCUCGAGUCCGGAAGAGGUGAGUGGAAUUCCGAGUGUAGAGGUGAAAUUCGUAGAUAUUCGGAGGAACACCAGUGGCGAAGGCGGCUCACUGGUCCGGUACUGACGCUGAGACGGCGAAAGCGUGGGGAGCCAAACAGG